ensembl:lncRNA
GGAGAUGGGAGGACGGAGAAGGUUCGCAGAUGUUGCUUUGUUUAAAGACAGUGUAAUUAAGAAGGAGGAGAAGCGUGACCUAUUUUGGUCCUUUUGAUCAGCUGUCAAAGUAGGAGCGGGGGGUCCAAUCCGGCACGGGCCUCUCUCCCUCCCUCUCCCCUUCUCUCUCCCUCUCUCUCUUCAGCUCCCUCUCUUUUCCUAUCGGCGACUCUCGCGCUCUAUCUCUUAGUUUCAGCUGCUCCCCCCCCCACACACCCCCUCGCGUGCGUCGACAUACGGACGCGUGUGCAGGAACCAAACAUUUAGUCUUGCUCGCACGGUGGGUGCAUAUUGUCAAUGAGGGACCCGGCAGAGAAGUCCACGAAGACCCAGAGGUCACCAGGGGUCGCAGGAUCAGCCACCCCGCGCUCGUGUCAUCUGACCUCAUUUGCAUAAGAGGUGACCUCUUGUGUUUCAUCAGAGCUCACAGAGGACAGCAGAGUGGCCCCCUCUAGGUCCUCUACACAGAGUGGCCCCCUCUAGGUCCUCAACACAGAAUGGCCCCCUGUAGGUCCUCAACACAGACUGGCCCCCUCUAGGUCCUCAACACAGACUGGCCCCCUCUAGGUCCUCAAAACAGAGUGGCCCCCUCUAGGUCCUCAACACAGACUGGCCCCCUGUGGGUUCUCUACACAGAGUGGCCCCCUCUAGGUCCUCUACACAGAGUGGCCCCCUCUAGGUCCUCUACUCAACAUCAACAGAGGACCCUCUGGUCCCUGUCGGACCCCCACGGACCCUCUGGUCCCUGUCGGACCCCCACGGACCCCCACAGACCCUCUGGUCCCUGUCGGACCCCGCCGGACCCCCACAGAGCCACCAGGUCCUCUCAGAAGGACGACCCCC